CCAACAUCUUCCACCGUUGGAUCAUUUACCAGAUCAAGGGAUGGGUCGCCUCAGCUCCUUACAGGAACUGCGAAUUUGGAAUUGCCCGAAAUUGGCGUCACUACCAGAAGGGCUUCGUUGCCUCGCCUCAUUAAAAAGGUUGACAAUUGUAGAUUGCCCCAUCUUAAAGCAAAGAUGCCAGAAAGAAACAGGUGAGGACUGGUCCAAGAUUGCUCACAUCCCAGACAUUCGCAUUAAUCUAGAAGCUGCUGAAUUUUACGAUUUUUAAGGGUUGGGUCAGCGGAGAUUGGGUCCCCACUAAAAACUCUUAUGGCUUGAUUGUGAUUGUGCAACAGCAGGUCACCAAGAAAGUGUGAUUAAAAGAAGAAACUGAUUAGGCAUCCUGACUUUGAUCAUAUAAGUGACUCAGUUGUACAUGUGAUGAAUUUAG